AACGAACGCUGGCGGCAGGCCUAACACAUGCAAGUCGAGCGGACCUUUCGGGGUCAGCGGCGGACGGGUGAGUAACGCGUGGGAAUAUGCCCUUCUCUACGGAAUAGUCCUGGGAAACUGGGGGUAAUACCGUAUACGCCCUUUGGGGGAAAGAUUUAUCGGGGAAGGAUUAGCCCGCGUUGGAUUAGGUAGUUGGUGGGGUAAUGGCCUACCAAGCCGACGAUCCAUAGCUGGUUUGAGAGGAUGAUCAGCCACACUGGGACUGAGACACGGCCCAGACUCCUACGGGAGGCAGCAGUGGGGAAUCUUAGACAAUGGGGGCAACCCUGGUCUAGCCAUGCCGCGUGAGUGAUGAAGGCCUUAGGGUUGUAAAGCUCUUUCAGCUGGGAAGAUAAUGACGGUACCAGCAGAAGAAGCCCCGGCUAACUCCGUG
rnacentral:rRNA from 1 species